CACAGCACAGCCUUGUAUAAAUAAUGGCACUGGGCCAAGUACAGCUGAGGUGGUUGCCAGCACAACUCCAUUGAAGUCAAAGGAAUUGCACCACGGUUGCCUGACUUACGGAGAGGCAGCAGAGGUUUGGCGCCACAAAACAGCGUUGCUACCUUAAAGAUGACAUCAGCUCCCCUGGAUCCAGAGCUAUUGUGUGAAGGUGUUGUCUUCUGCCCCAGGUCGCCCUUUCCCUUCAAGAAUACAAAGGAAACAGGGCCAAAUGUGGAAAAGAAGGAAAUGAGCACAUUGUGUCUGAGUUAGCUUCCCAGGAUCAAAUGUCCCCCUGCAUGAACCUUUGCAUGUAUUUAUGAAAUAAUAUUUUUCUUUGACAGGGCACAAAUGAACUCAGCAGCUCAGUUAUUGCUAUGCCAGACCUUUAUAACAUGCUUUAUGUGCUUCUCAAUAUGAUUGUAUAUUUCCUGUCUCUAUACAAACCUCUCUAUGUGUAAGUGUCAAAACGUUAUUCUGCUGGUAUUGUGGCCAAUAUCAGCUGGAAUUUUGUCUUUUACUUUGAGGAAGAGGGGUCAAAUUCAUAUUUGUUACUGAGAAAUGUGCUUUCACGUAAUGUGAGACCCUGUGUAUCACUCAGUGUUCCUGUGAAAGAAGAAGCAUCUCCAAAAUCACACAUAGUCAAAGGCAAUAGAAAGACUCACUUUAUAAGGUUUGGUCUUUUCUACAUCCCACAGUGGAACUUUAUGUCUUUUCUGCUCUAAAAUCAUGUUACUAAAGGACACAUGUGAGACAGCAGGUCAAAUUGGAAGAAAUGCACCAUUUAGAUCUGAAAAGAGCCUGCAGCUACAAUGGGGUCAAUACCUCAGAAUACAAGAAGAAACAUUUUUGUAACAACAUUCAAUAGAAUUUAUCAUUUCUUUGUAAUUCAAACUAGAACAAGCCCAAAAGUAAGGGGUGGAAGGGAAGGUAGCGUAAUAAAUGUGAGAGGAAAAGAUACAGCAGGAAAGCUACAGAGGACACAGGCUGAAAUAGUGUUGCACAGAAAAACCCAAUUUGGCUUCUCUGCAUCAAAUACAGCAGGCAGCCUAAGAAAACAAAACAAAAAAAACCCACAAAAAACCCACAAAAGUUUAAAUGAGCAGGGCUGCAGUACAGUGACUGUCCAUGAUAAAGUGUGAUGGGACAA